GUGCCAGCCGCCGCGGUAAUACGUAGGGGCCGAGCGUUGUCCGGAAUCAUUGGGCGUAAAGAGCGUGUAGGCGGCCCUCUAAGUCCUGCGUGAAAUCCUGCGGCUCAACCGCAGGCGGUCGUGGGAAACUGGGGGGCUCGAGUGCGGGAGAGGAGAGUGGAAUUCCCGGUGUAGCGGUGAAAUGCGCAGAUAUCGGGAAGAACACCCGUGGCGAAGGCGGCUCUCUGGAACGCAACUGACGCUGAGACGCGAAAGCGUGGGGAGCAAACAGGAUUAGAUACCCCGGUAGUCC
rnacentral:rRNA from 1 species